rnacentral:rRNA from 1 species
UGGGGAAUAUUGGACAAUGGGGGGAACCCUGAUCCAGCCAUGCCGCGUGUGUGAAGAAGGCCUUAUGGUUGUAAAGCACUUUAAGCGAGGAGGAGGGUACUGGUAUUAAUACUACCAGCUACUGGACGUUACUCGCAGAAUAAGCACCGGCUAACUCUGUGCCAGCAGCCGCGGUAAUACAGAGGGUGCGAGCGUUAAUCGGAUUUACUGGGCGUAAAGCGUGCGUAGGCGGCUAAUUGAGUCGGAUGUGAAAUCCCCGAGCUUAACUUGGGAAUUGCAUUCGAUACUGGUUAGCUAGAGUGUGGGAGAGGAUGGUAGAAUUCCAGGUGUAGCGGUGAAAUGCGUAGAGAUCUGGAGGAAUACCGAUGGCGAAGGCAGCCAUCUGGCCUAACACUGACGCUGAGGUACGAAAUCGUGGGGAGCAAACAGG